CCCAGACUCCUACGGGAGGCAGCAGUGGGGAAUAUUGCACAAUGGGGGGAACCCUGAUGCAGCGACGCCGCGUGGGUGAAGGAGCACCUCGGUGCGUAAAGCCCUAUCGGCAGGGAAGAAAAGCGAACAGGUUCGCCUGGACGGUACCUGACUAAGAAGCCCCGGCUAACUACGUGCCAGCAGCCGCGGUAAUACGUAGGGGGCAAGCGUUACCCGGAAUUACUGGGUGUAAAGGGUGAGUAGGCGGAAUGCCAAGUCAGGGGUAAAAUCGCGGGGCUCAACCUCGCUCCGCCGUUGAAACUGGCGUUCUUGAGUGGGCGAGAAGUAUGCGGAAUGCGUGGUGUAGCGGUGAAAUACAUAGAUAUCACGCAGAACUCCGAUUGCGAAGGCAGCAUACCGGCGCCCAACUGACGCUGAAGCACGAAAGCGUGGGUAUCGAACAGGAUUAGAUACCCUAGUAGGA
rnacentral:rRNA from 1 species